GUUGUUUUCAGACGACACGUGGACCUGUUCUUCAGUUCGACUAUGGUGCAAUAGCUGACCGGCUUUUUGCAUUGGCCAGUCACUCGAAUAUACAGAGCUUCAACAGAUCCAAGAUUUACACGUUUGUGAAAAUUUUCCGAGACCUGAGUGAAGGUGUGUUCCCUCAGGAUGAAGUGGAGGAUGUGUCCUCUGAUGAAGAUGAUGACAGCAGAAGGAGAAGAAAGAGAAAGAAACAAAAGAAGAAAGACGAGGAGUCGCUGAAGAAAUCCAAAGACUAAUGCCUCUACUGCCUGUAAUUAAUACCCACCUGUGAAAUACCUGUACCUCUGUGGCUUACCUCCUAUCAA